CAGCACCAUUCUCUAGAUAUGCUCUCUUCAAGUAAAUCUUUCGAAGUUGCAGGGUGCAAUUCAUAAAAAUGGAAAGCACGGAGGACGCAGGCAGGGAGAGAAUGUUAAUUUGUGACCAAAAGGGUCUUUGGCUAUACAGCUUGCAGACCUUUUCUCCAAAAUGUAGUAUUCUCCCGCAUCCCCUUCCCGGGCGUUUAAAGUCUGGUUGAAGGAAAAUUGCGCAUAUACGAUUUCUAGAUAGACUUAGAAAGACGAAACUGCAUCGCUGCAAAUCAUCAGUAGAAAGAACAAGAGAACAGUACCUAUUCAGAGUUGGGGUUAUACAGUAAUAUGGAAAUGAUCAAAUUGAAAUGCUACUACUAGGUAUUAUCACUGCCGAAUACAACUAUGGUACAUUCAGCCACAGUCGGUCUUAUGGGGGAGCCCUGAUCAACGGAGAAAGAUUUGAAGCUGCAAGAGCAACAGUUUACUAGACAGUCGGAAAGGAGAUGGGAAGAAACCUGCGGUAAAACUAGGAAGAUGUAAUACGAUUGGGGCAACAGAGUAGGUUAAGGCAGAACGCGGCUAUGAUUAGGAAGACUUCUCCCGACUGAGCAUAUUUAAAAUGAAUCUCGAGAGGCCAGGUGCUUGUAAAGAGAUUAGCAAUACGAACCUAUUCUGGACGUUGGCUGGGAGGUUUUUGCACAGCAAGCAAACGAGCCGAACCCCGGAUUGGUUUGUCAAGCUGAGAGAGCCAGUAUACAAUAGCGCAAGCCCCUUCCCGAACGGGAGGGGGGAAAACCUGGGGUUACCUCAUUAGGGAGAUCGUGCGGAAUUGAAUGCCUCAUCUCUUUCCGCAGAUGUUCCAGCUGCAGGGCAGGGUGGGGAAAGGAAAAUUGAAACUAGACACCAGGAGCCUGUGAUUCUCUUGCAGCACAUAAGACAAAACUCUCAUAGCUUGCCCCGUUAGAAAGCAAGUCAUCUCCCGGAUCGCAGAGGCUGCGCGCGCGCUUCCUCGGGAAGCAAGGCUUGAGGGUCUCGGAGAAUACAAAUCUCCCUCGAGGAAGAAAAAAGGGGGGCAGCCCCCCCUUUGGCCCCUUUACGCCGCACCUGUGGAGCACGAAGCAAUUGAGUGGGUCGCGUUUCUCCAACAUUCCCUCACUCCCCCCUCUCCCGCAGCUUUUGCCACGCCCGGGUUGUAGGACGCCACCGACGCCGUUCAUCAUUCGGUAAGCUAAAGCAACGAAGUACGAGGGCGAUUGGGACGUGCUAGACGGCUGACGGCGCAACAUGAGGCGAAGAGCGAGCAGGCAACUGAGUCCCGCGGGGGGAAGAGCUGCUACUUGCCUUGGGAUUUUGCUACAGUGAAAGGAACAAACGGAACAGAACGAGCCUCCCUAAGAUCGUCAUGGGGAGGAAAGGCUAAUCCUACAUGCCUCGUGGCGGUUUCUCCCAGAAGGCGUGCAACAAAUGGCAGCCAGGUCUUUAAUCCAGGCUGCAGUGACGACGGUAGCGGCUCCCAGGUGAGGCGCAAGACUCCAGUUCGCUAGCUGCGGUUCUCCAUGCUUGCCUGCUUCUCGCCUCCCUUCCUCCUUCUGAGUCAUCCCGCUGCAUCUGAUGUCCUGACCAUAAGAUACGAGAUGGCACCAUGUGAUUCACUCAGCAAGAUCUCUUUCUACCUCUUUGACAGAAAAAAGGAGCAACUUAAAAAGCUUCCUUUCAAUCCCCAAGGCACCUCAUCAAAGAAUGUCCUUUUAAAAAACAAACCAACCAUGAAGAUCUCUACAUACUAAACUAUUCUUGACCUCCAUUGUUGAACUCGUGUUUCUGGAACUGGGCCUUAUUGAUUCAAUAUUUUAAUACCUUUAUUUAGUUAGACUGUUUUGAAUCUCUUAUUCUUCAUUAUAUACAAAGAAAUAUACCCAGAGUGAACUGGCAUCUGAAGGUAAUGGAAUCCAGGCCUGCCAUUGGGCCUCAACCUAUUAAGUACAAUCAUACAAAUGCAGUACAGUUAGUUCAUCACAUAAACUUGAAAUACGUAGAAUAACCUUAUUUAAUUUUUGUCAAGACUGAUUCGCCCUUUUACCUAUAGCUUCUGCUCAGCUUGACAAUGAGAUGGAAUGCAAAGGGGGGGAGGAGUGUUAUCUAGGCAACCGAGGCUUCUGAGAACCAAGGUCAUGCUUGAUGGAGAAAUGGACUAUUUCCAUAACAAGAAGAAAUGUUACUACUGGACAAUGUGAACACCCGGUGGGUGGGAAUGAGGGAAUCUAUUGUUUUAUGUAAGCAAACCUUCAAGUGGGAAAAUUAGAGCUGGUUCGCUUCUUCUGUGCCAAUGUAAAUUUUCAGUAAAGUGUUAUACUUUUGGUAAAAUCAGGUCCCAGGAGUUUCUUUUUCUGGAAAUGCCAAUUGGACAGUUGACAUUAAACCAGCUCUCCUGUAGCAGCCUACCUGGACCCACCAAGAGCUUGGCAGUUUUGAGAUGUUAGCAGUUGACAGAGGAGUGGAUAGAGGGGUGAGACCAAGGGAGCCUCCUCUCCAGAAAACCACGAUGGCAGCCCAAGCCAAAGCAGGAUGUAGGGGGGCUGGCACACACAACCCUAGCAACAUCUGGCUUCCCCAUUCAGGCACUGGAGCUGCCGCCCAGGUAUGUCUUAGUGUGAGAGAACCAAGUGCCACUUCCCUUUGCAGUUUGGUUUGAUGAAUGGCCCAACCAUGUGGCUUACUUCCUGACCCAGCUAUGGAACUUCAUGGAAUGACAUGGAGUAAGGAACCCAGAUGGGCGCACCUGGGUCAACAUUGUCACAUCUAACCUAGAGGGACUGGUGUCUCUCCACGAUGAAGGGGUUCUGGAGUUGCAAGACUUGGAUGCUUUCAUCUAGGCGUUGCAAGACAGGUUUGAAGACCCUGCAGCGGCCUGGCAUACAGAGAUCCAUAUCUGUUUCCUAUGGCAGGGCAAGCGGCCAGUGACAGAGUACAUCCAAGACUUUCACAGCCUAGCAGCUCACCUGAAAGAUUGGCCCAAGUGUAUGCUAGUCUACCAAUUCUGGAAAGGACUGAACAAGGAGCUGUAUCACAACUGCCUGUCCCAGGGCAUGCCAUGCAACCUUUGAAUGUGGUACCAGUUGGCCACAAACAUGGAGCUCGAUCUAAUGGAGUAUCAUGAGCAUGCAGCACAUGAAACCAGAUGCCCAAGGGAUGCCCAGCACCUCAUGUAAGAAGACUCAUGUAAGAAGUUGCUAGCCAACGGGCAAUGGAAGCACCGCAUGCCAGCCAUGAGUCUAUGGUUAGGGAACUGAAAGCAAAGUCAUUGAACACGCUAAAGGAAAGUGAGGAUUUAGAGCCACUUGUUCUAAUGAAUUCCAUGACCUAGUGGAGGCAUUCAUCGAAAGAGAAUCAGACAUGUUCCUGCCCCAUAGCCCACAGACUGCCUAUUGAAAUCUUGUCAGGGCAAAAUUACCAAAGCCAGAGAUGUAUUCAAUGAGCCUGAGGGAGAUGGAGGAACAUCAAGGUUUUAUAGACAAAAAUGUAGCCAGGGGAUUUAUCCAACCAGUGAAACCAAGGAUGGCUGCCCCUGUGCUUUUCAAAAAGGACAGAUCUCUUAAACUAUGCAUGGAUUACCAUCGACUGAAUGGUAUCUGCAUAGAGAAUAUGUAUCUCCUCUCCCUUACGAGGGAAAUGCUGGGCUACUAUUACUGAGGAUUAAAGAAGGAGAUGAAGGAAAACCACAUUUAACUGCCCUCUGGGUUGCUAUCAAUUUCAAGUGAUGCCAUUUUGGUUGCAAGGAGUGCACGCAGUAUUCAUGCAGUUAAUAAAUGAAGUCUUGCAUGAGCACCUGUACAAAGGAGUGCUGGUAUACAUGGAUAACAUUCUAAUCUGUACUGAGACCAUGAAAGAGCACGUAAAGCUGGUGACAGCAGUACUUAAAAAGUUAUGGAAAGCCCAACUGUACAUGAAGCUAUCUAAAUGCAACUUCCACAAAAACAGCCUAGACUACCUGGGGCAUUGCAUCUCCAAAGAUGCUGUAGAAAUGGACCCAGGUAAGGUGAGGCCAAUUCUGAAAUGGGAGACCUGUUAAACCAGGAAGCAGUUACAGAGCUUCCUGGUAUUUGUGACUUACUGACAGUUCAUCCCACAUUUGCCUAGAUAGCCUACCCAUUACCAACCUGCUCAAGAUGGGAGAGGGUGAAGCCCAAAUCGAGCCAAUCAUUAAACUGAUCUGUCGAAUGCCAAGCGGCAUUCGAGAAACUAAAGCAGUUCUUUGCUGCAGAACCAGUCUUAAAGCAUCCAAACCCAGAUGAGCCUUUUGUAAUCCAAGCAGACACCAGCAAUGUGGCAGUAGGGGCGGUUUUACUCCAAAGGAACAAAAAGGGGGAGCUGCAACUCUGUGCCUACAUGUCUCGCAAGUUAUCUGAUACUGAGAGAUGUUGGCCAUCUGGGAGGAGGCUUAUGCUUUUCUGAUGGGCCUUCUGAACUGGAGGCAGUUUUUGGAGCGUAGCAAGAUUCUUUUCACGGUGUGGACAGACCACAAGAACCUGGAGGCAUUAAGGACCCUGAGGAAGCUAUUCCCUAAGCAGGUCCGAUGGGCUCAGUAUUUUAACCACUUCAAUUUCACCCUUCGCUAUUUCCUAGCAGAUGCCCUCUCUCACAAGCUUCAGUACAGAAAUGCCUGAGAAGAAGUAGUUAACUCCAUCAUCUCAUCCAGGCAGUUCACAGUGCCAGCACUUACAAGGCAGCAGAAAACAGCCUACCUGCAACCAACAAGAGAUUCAUUGAUGCAACUGUUAAAAGAUGCUUUGGGGACGGAUGAAUGAUUCCAGAGACAAAGAAGACCUGAUGUCAAAGGAGGGCUUAGUGUGGAAGGGAAGUAAAUUGUACGUCCCAGCCAGUCAGAGAAUCUUGGUCCUGCAGAGGAGUCAUAAUGCAAAACCCGCAAGGCAUUUUGGAUUCGUGAAAACCCUUCAUUUGUGAAAAAGACAGGUUUGGUGGCCAAAAAUGAAAAAGGACAUAGAAGCCUAUGUGGCCAGUUGCCCCAUGUGUGCCUCCAUGAAGUGCCUACCUGGGAAGCCUCCAGGCUUGCUACAGUUGGUAGCCAACCCAACUAAGCCAUGGGAAAAGAUAUCCAUGGACUUUAUCGUGAAGUUGCCUGAGAGCGCUGGGAACACCAUGAUCUGGACUGUCAUUGACUUGUUUUCAAAGCAAGCACAUCUUGUAGGGUGUCCGAAGAGCUCUUCAGUCCAGACCCUAGCCAAGAUGUUUGUGCAACACAUCUACCAAUUACAUGGGAUCCUGAAGCACACUAUCUCGGACAGGGGGGUGCAAUUCACUGCAAAGUUUUGGUGGGAAUUCUUGAAAAUGAUAGGCUCCUCCCAGAUACUUAGCUCCAUCUAUCAUCUGAAUACUAAUGAGGCUGCUGAAUGCUCCAACUCACUAGUAGAGCAAUAUCUAUACUAUUAUGUAAAUUAUGAGCAGACUAAUUGGGCCGAAUUUCUGCCUUUCGUAGAGGUGGCAUAUAACAACUCGGUGCACAGCAGCACACGUUUUACCCCCUUCAAAGUGGCCAUGGGGACCGAGUUCAUGUUCAUGCCAGAGCUCUCCUAUCCUCAAGGUCAUUACUGAUUGGAUGGAUACAUUAAAAGCCACAGGGCCCAGUGUGUGUGAGGCACUGAAUAAGGCUAGAGAAAGUCAAAAGUGGCAAGAAGAUCAUAAGAGAGCCCCCCAGUGACAGUUUAAAGUGGGGGCUAAGGUAUAUUUGUACACUAAAUACCUAAACCUGAGGUAACCUCACAAAAAGUUAGGUCCCAAAUACAUAGGACCUUUCCACACUGUUGGGAUCGUAAAUCUGAUGAUGGUGGAGCUAAAGUUGCCGAGAAGCCUCAGGCAAGUUCAUCUGGUAUUCCAUUGUAGCCUAUUGAAACCUUUUCAGGGAUCUGGUUUGAGGCCAGUCAAAGAACCACUCCUCCUCCCAUCUUAGUAAAGGGAGAGGAGCACUACAAUAUCUCGACUCCAGAUAUUACAAGGGGAAAUUACAGUAUCUAGUACUGUGGAAAGGCUACCCAUUAGCAGAUGCUGAGUGGGUGGCUGCCCCUGAUGUUAGGGCAGUGAGGUUAGUUAAGAAAUUUCACAUUCGGUAUCCUCAACAGCCCCAUUUAGGGAUAUAGCAGUAAUUGGGUUUUACAUAAUAAUGUAUAUAUAUGUUUAUUGUUG